AAAAUUUAGGGAAAUUAUAACCAAAGUAGAAACUCCUAAAAAUUAAAAUUCCUAACAAACAUGACUUUCUAUGCAAGAGCUCCUUUAUUGGCUAAUGAUGGGCUUUAAGUGGGCUGUUUUUGGAAUCCUUGUCUUUCUAUCCGUCUAUCAUUUAUUAACAAUUUGUGCCUGUUCUCAGUGGACAGAAGGAAUGAGAGGAGAGAAACAUGAAGGGGCAUAUAUAAUCAGUUAAAAAACUCAUCUUAGGUCAAGGGCUCAAGGAACUGAAAUGCAUCUUUAUAUAUAUAAGGAGUCAACAGGUACUGCUCCUGUAAACGAUGCAAUUUUUGGAGAUCCAAUGCAGAAGGCAGAAGCAAUGGCAUUUCGUCGAGCUUUUGAGGGUAUCUUCUUUUAGGAAAAGUAAUUCCCAAAAAAGGAAAUGCUAACCACCCCAUCUAAUGGGGUAUAUGUGUAAAAAGUAGAUUCGAAUAUGUAGAAAGUGUAUAGAAAUAUAUGAAUUGUGUAUUGAAAUUCUAACCCUUUUGACAUUAUAUGGUCUUUAACAAAAUGCCCAAUGGAAUCUAUCUUUCAUGCCAUUUCCACCUUUCCUUCUGCUGGGAACAGAGCACAAUUCUCAAAA